GGGUUUCAUAUAGCCCAUUUAUUAAAUUUGCAAUAAUAAAGAGAAAAUGUACAUGAUCCCUGGAUAAUGAAACGUGCAAAUAUAUGAAGCAUUCCAAAUUUUA